UCCCAGAUAGCUUAGCUGGUAAAGAAUCUUCCUGCAAUGUGGGAGACCUGGGUUCAAUCCCUGGCUUGGGAA
rnacentral:tRNA from 1 species